rnacentral:rRNA from 1 species
AAAACUUUCAACAACGGAUCUCUUGGUUCUGGCAUCGAUGAAGAACGCAGCGAAAUGCGAUAAGUAAUGUGAAUUGCAGAAUUCAGUGAAUCAUCGAAUCUUUGAACGCACAUUGCGCCCCUCGGUAUCCCGGGGGGCAUGCCUGUUCGAGCGUCAUUA